GCAGGGGUGGUCUAGCCCGGUAAGGCAGUCGGCUGCAAACCGACGUAUCGAGGGUUCAAAUCCCUCCCCCUGCU
rnacentral:tRNA from 1 species